GAGGAGUGGCUUUCGGAGCUAACGCGUUAAAUCGACCGCCUGGGGAGUACGGCCGCAAGGUUAAAACUCAAAUGAAUUGACGGGGGCCCGCACAAGCGGUGGAGCAUGUGGUUUAAUUCGAUGCAACGCGAAGAACCUUACCUACUCUUGACAUCCAGAGAACUUAGCAGAGAUGCUUUGGUGCCUUCGGGAACUCUGAGACAGGUGCUGCAUGGCUGUCGUCAGCUCGUGUUGUGAAAUGUUGGGUUAAGUCCCGCAACGAGCGCAACCCUUAUCCUUUGUUGCCAGCGAUUCGGUCGGGAACUCAAAGGAGACUGCCGGUGAUAAACCGGAGGAAGGUGGGGAUGACGUCAAGUCAUCAUGGCCCUUACGAGUAGGGCUACACACGUGCUACAAUGGCGUAUACAAAGAGAAGCGACCUCGCGAGAGCAAGCGGAACUCAUAAAGUACGUCGUAGUCCGGAUUGGAGUCUGCAACUCGACUCCAUGAAGUCGGAAUCGCUAGUAAUCGUAGAUCAGAAUGCUACGGUGAAUACGUUCCCGGGCCUUGUACACACCGCCCGUCACACCAUGGGAGUGGGUUGCAAAAGAAGUAGGUAGCUUAACCUUCGGGAGGGCGCUUACCACUUUGUGAUUCAUGACUGGGGUGAAGUCGUAACAAGGUAACCGUAGGGGAACCUGCGGUUGGAUCACCUCCUUA
rnacentral:rRNA from 2 species